rnacentral:tRNA from 1 species
AAUUAAGAAGCAAUAAAUGCAUUCAGUUUCGACCUGAAAAAUAGGUUAAAAACCCUUAAUUG